rnacentral:rRNA from 1 species
CCUACGAGGCAGCAGUGGGGAAUAUUGCACAAUGGGGGAAACCCUGAUGCAGCAACGCCGCGUGAGUGAAGAAGGUUUUCGGAUUGUAAAGCUCUGUUAGCAGGGAAGAGGAAGGACGGUACCUGCAGAGGAAGCCACGGCUAACUACGUGCCAGCAGCCGCGGUAAUACGUAGGUGGCAAGCGUUAUCCGGAUUUACUGGGUGUAAAGGGAGCGUAGACGGCAGCGCAAGUCUGGAGUGAAAUGCCGGGGCCCAACCCCGGAACUGCUCUGGAAACUGUGAAGCUGGAGUGCAGGAGAGGUAAGCGGAAUUCCUGGUGUAGCGGUGAAAUGCGUAGAUAUCAGGAGGAACACCGGCGGCGAAGGCGGCUUACUGGACUGUAACUGACGUUGAGGCUCGAAGGCGUGGGGAGCAAACAGGAUUAGAUACCCGAGUAGUC